rnacentral:tRNA from 1 species
GAGGUCUUAGCUUAAUUAAAGUGUUUGGGUUGCAUUCAGGAGAUAUAUAUUAGAAUUAUCCCGGCCUUC